GUGAAAAGGGCAUAUUAUUUGUGAUUUCAGACGUUGACGUUUUAAAGGGCAAAUUGGUGAUUCAUGCCUUCUCAAAGAGACACGUGUGCAACAGUUAAUUUUGCAAAUUGGAGUCUCAUCUAGACUCUUCUUCUUCCUAAUAGACUGUUGCGAAAUUGCUUCUCAUUCUCCACUUUCUCUGAUUUUUUUGUGCAUCUCCAUCUGCUCUUUAAUCAUUUAUUGUUACUUUAGGAUUCACCAAGUACAGCAUGUUGUGGGAAAAAACAUGGGAUGACUCCAACAAAUUGAACUUCCCAAUUCCUUAAUAGGUUACAAAUUGAUAGUGAUCUUUGGGUGACUCAUAUUUGAAAGCCUGUCGAUAAUGUUGAUGGCGAUGAUAUUGAUCUCCUUGGAGAGGAUACAAAGGAAGAAAGAGAAGGCAACGGAAGCAAGGGAGGCGGCUAAUGCAUCUACCAAGAAGAAAGAUAGUGAGCUUUGAUAUUUCCUUCUUAGUUGCUUUUGUAUCCAAUGCACAAUUACUGUAGAAAGAAAAUGCAAAACAUAUUAGAACUUGAAUGUGGAAAUUAUGUUCCUUUAAUCACGUAAAUCAUCAGUAUGCUUCAUUUUGUUAUGUUCUUACUUUUGUAGUUGAAAAGUUUUUCGUUCUUUUGGAAGUUAAGCCUUGGAAUGAUGAACUCACAUGAAGGGGCUGGAGGAGGUUGUCCGCAGUGUUCAGAUGGAAGUGCUUUUCUAGGGAAUAUGUAUGAUUUAUAAUUUCCAUUCCCUCUUUAACACACAUACCCAAAGUUCCUCUAGAGGAAUAUCAGCUGAAAUUCACCGUAAGCAAUUCAACAAAACUUAUGAACCAUUGAAAAGGUAAAACCUUCUUUUCCUAAUAUUUAUCCGGAUAAUCUUUUGUUUUGGGCGUAGAUCUUUGGUCCAAGGUGACAAUGCUGGUAAAGUUUUUUUUAUUGGAGGUAAUUUGUUAUACUGGUCGAAGGCUCUUUGCUACAAAUUAAGGGUGCAGGUGAUCAUCAAGUGGUGGACUAUUCCUACAGCUGCCAAAUUGCAGUCCAUUUAUAGAGCAAUUCCAGCUAUUAUCAUGUGGGAGCUGUGAAAUAGAACAGAUUCAAUAAAGCAUGUAGGAAACGUAUCAUACAACAAAGUUCUAUAUGUUCUAUAUGUACUUCAGCUUACCAUCAACAAGCUAAUCAGAUGUAGAUAUCCGUGGCUCACACAUGUUCCACCAGACUGACCAUCUUUGUCGACCUCGUCGGUCGUUUUGAGAAUUAAUGUUCUAUUCCGCGUGUCAUCUAUUCCAGAAGCUUCAUAAUAAUUAUUUUGAUUUGCUUGCAAAAUUUAAAGUCAAAAGGAUAUCAUUUGGUUCACUUGUGGAGAAGGUUUCAUUUUGAAAAUCCUGAUAUUUAAGUAUUUGGAUGAAUUGCUUGUUUUAUGAAAACGUGCUCUGAUUGGCGAUCUGAAGAUUUCGUUAGAUUUGUAAUAUUAUUUAUGACCUGUAGAAAUUGACUGAGCUAAUUUUAGAGUUCGUUUGGUUGGUUUUUGACAAUUAAGUCGAUUUUAGUAUUUAAUGUUCCUAUGUAUGGUGAAAAGAUGGUCACGGAAGAAAUAAGACCCGAAUUGAAAAUUUAUUGGUUCCGUUAGCUUCAUAUUGAUGCUUACGACUUGCGGGAAUGAACAAAUCAAUUCCUGAAGCUUUUGGUUGAGUUUUGGGUAAGGAAAAGGAUAUUUUGGAAAUCCUUAAGUAAAGAAGUGAGAAUGGUUGACCAAAGUCAACACUAAGGGUAAAUGAGUCUUUUUUAAAGUUUCAUCGAUUCUAUUAGGUCCGGAAUGUGAUUAUUGAUUCAGUGGAGCCAUUGAUUCGGUUCUCGAGGGGUUCAAGUGUGGUUUGGGUCAUAGGUUGAGAAACCAGUUAAGUUAAGGAAUUGGAGUUGAUCACGUUCAACUUCAGGUGAAGAAGACCCCGUGUUGUUGCUUUGAAUGUUCCAACAUGUUUUCGUAUAAUGAUUUUGGACUUGUCCACAAGUUUUAGUGAGAUUUCAAUGAGUUUCAAAUGGAUUUGGGUUGUGUCGCGCUCGUGUUUGAAGUUUCAACGUCGUUUCUUUGGGCAUAAAAGGUACCAAUUGAGAAAAUGACCUCUCAAUUAUGUUUCGAUUGAACCAUUAAAUUCGCAUUGCAAUUACCGAGCCAUAGCAAAAGGAAUCAUUGAAUUUCGACGUCGUAUGAGGGAGUUAUGCCCAUUUUAGUGUCGGUGAAAUUGUUGUCUCUGGUGUGGUUGCGGGUGCGGAAAAGGGCCGAAAAUGUGAAACUGCAGGGGCAAAUUGGUCUGCAGGUGCGAAAUUUUGGGCCGCGGAAGCGGAAAUCGUUGAGUUAAAAUUUAGACUUCGUCCAUUUUGUAUUUUGAGCAUAUUUUGAGUUCUAGAGCUCCGUUUGAGGUGAUUUUCGCCUCGUUGUUCUCAUCUCAACGAGAGGGUUAGUAUCUAACCUUUAUUUUGGUGUUUCCCCAUGAUUAUUUCCGUCGGUUAUCGUUUUUUAUUUGUGUUUGGGUUGGUAGAAGUUGGGGUUUUGAGACCUAAGAAUAAUAGAAUGAAAAAUCUCGAUUUGGGGAUCGACUCAUGGAUGAAAUUGGGUGAUUUUCUCUAUGUAGACGAUAUAAGUUAGUAAACCGAUUUUCAAAUAAAAUUCCGUUUUGGCCUUAGGGGCCCGGGAUUACCUUUUUGGGUUCGUUUUUGGAUUCUGAAUUAAAUAUAGCAAUAUGGGUAUCAUUGGAUUCAUUUAACUUCAUAGAGUACUAUUUGACUAUAUUGAACCCAAUUUUGUAAUGAAAUUACAAUUUUGACCUUCAGGGCUUAAGAUUGGCU